rnacentral:rRNA from 1 species
CGGUGUUCAACUGGCGUGCCCGCGGGACGUCCUGCCGGUGAGCUCAGCCCGCGAGGGCGGCUCAACUUGAAAUCCCAUCGCGGUGCUCUUCAUUGAGUGUCGAGGUGGGCCGGCACGAUCACUUUUGAACAAAUUAGGGUGCUUAAAGCAGGCUAAAAUUUUGCCUGAAUACUGUGUAUAUGGAAUAAUGGAAUAGGACCUCGGUUCUAUUUUGUUGGUUUUCGGAACCCCGAGGUAAUGAUUAAUAGGAACGGAUGGGGGCAUUCGUAUUGCGACGUUAGAGGUGAAAUUCUUGGAUCGUCGCAAGACGGACUAAAGCGAAAGCAUUUGCCAAAAACGCUUUCAUUGAUCAAGAACGAAAGUUAGAGGUUCGAAGGCGAUCAGAUACCGCCCUAGUUCUAACCAUAAACUAUGCCAGCUAGCGAUCCGCCGACGUCCCUCUGAUGACUCGGCGGGCAGCUUCCGGGAAACCAAAGCUUUUGGGUUCCGGGGGAAGUAUGGUUGCAAAGCUGAAACUUAAAGGAAUUGACGGAAGGGCACCACCAGGAGUGGAGCCUGCGGCUUAAUUUGACUCAACACGGGAAACCUCACCAGGCCCAGACACUGGAAGGAUUGACAGAUUGAGAGCUCUUUCUUGAUUCAGUGGGUGGUGGUGCAUGGCCGUUCUUAGUCGGUGGAGCGAUUUGUCAGGUUAAUUCCGAUAACGGACGAGACUCUGACCUGAUAACUAGACGCACUUGCGGCAUCUCAAAGGUCCGCCGGCGGCUGGCUUUGCGCCCGUCGUCGCGCGCGAUUUUUACUGCCGGCGUACAAUAAAUUCUUCUUAGAGGGACAAGUGG